rnacentral:rRNA from 1 species
GUGGGGAAUUUUGGACAAUGGGCGCAAGCCUGAUCCAGCAAUGCCGCGUGCAGGAAGAAGGCCUUCGGGUUGUAAACUGCUUUUGUACGGAACGAAACGGUCCUGGUUAAUACCUGGGGCUAAUGACGGUACCGUAAGAAUAAGCACCGGCUAACUACGUGCCAGCAGCCGCGGUAAUACGUAGGGUGCGAGCGUUAAUCGGAAUUACUGGGCGUAAAGCGUGCGCAGGCGGUGCUGUAAGACAGGCGUGAAAUCCCCGGGCUCAACCUGGGAAUUGCGCUUGGGACUGCAGUGCUGGAGUACGGCAGAGGGGGAUGGAAUUCCGCGUGUAGCAGUGAAAUGCGUAGAUAUGCGGAGGAACACCGAUGGCGAAGGCAGUCCCCUGGGCCUGUACUGACGCUCAUGCACGAAAGCGUGGGGAGCAAACAGGAUUAGAAACCCGUGUAGUCC